rnacentral:lncRNA from 1 species
AUGUAGGGUUUGUUAACGGGGAAUAGGCAAAGAUGUUGGUGCCAUUCACGGAUAAGAACAACCAGAAUAAUGUACUGAUAUGGUUCAGUAGGUUUAAUUACCCUUACGAACCAAGUAUUACGAUGUUUAGUUUUUAAUUUUUUUGAUGUUGUUGGAGAUGUACUUUGAAUAACCAAUCCACUACACAGAUAGGUUGUCAGACUCGUAGUCAUUGUCUUAAUAGUUGUAAUCAUCAUAAUAGUUGUAGUUGUUGUCAUCACAGUCGUGCGGGCAUGUUCAUGGCACUGUGAUGCAUGCUGGUGUGCAUUUGCGCACAAGUCUUGUGUGUGGGAGUGCCACUACACUCCAAGCACCUGCACAU